rnacentral:rRNA from 1 species
UACGUAGGGUGCGAGCGUUAAUCGGAAUUACUGGGCGUAAAGUGUGCGCAGGCGGCCGAGCAAGUCGAGUGUGAAAGCCCCGAGCUUAACUUGGGAACUGCGCUCGAAACUACUUGGCUGGAGUGUGGCAGAGGAAGGUGGAAUUCCACGUGUAGCGGUGAAAUGCGUAGAGAUCAUGAGGAAGACCAGUGGCGAAGGCGGGUCUCUGGACAGUUCCUGACACUGAGACACGAAGGCCAGGGGAGCAAACGGG